CUUUUUUUUUUUUUUUUUUUGGCACUUUCUAAUUUUUUCCUCUUCCUUAAUUUCAUAGCAUUCAUAAAGUUGCUUUAUCUUUUUUACGCAUUUCAUCAAAAAAUUGAAUGCAUCACUUGAUAAACUAACAACAUUGACCAAAAUAUGCAACUUCCCAGAGUGUAUGAAUAAUCAGUUUGAUAACCACACAUCAAUGGCAAUGUCUGACAGCAUAUCUAUAGUUCUAAUCAACGAGAGUAGCAAUUUUACAAGAUUAAUAAGGAAAAGAUAACAUAUGAUAUAUCAAACAUUCAGAAAGAGUCAAAAAUAUCAACAUCAUGUACACAAAUCAUGUGGAUAAACACAGGGCAGAAAUACCAACACGGACAGGAUACACAUGCAUA
rnacentral:misc_RNA from 1 species